AGGUGGUCUUCUCAUCUGUUUUCCCAGUGAUCAGAUGUGGACGAUGCCAUGAGACCUGCAUUAGGGUGGUCAACUUGUGGCUCCAGAGCAGGUGUUAUGAGGUUGGCUGAUCUCCUCCAGUGGGCUUUAAACUAGGUUUGUCGGGGGAAGGGAAGGCCAAGGAUGGAGGGAUCCAUGAAACACUGAACCAUGAGAUACCCACAAGAUCAGCCCGGGAACCUAGACGAACCCUCAAUAUGCAUCACGGACACCAAUAAGGGGAACAUCAGCUGACCAACUGCCAGUGCCAACACAGUAAAAAGACACUUGGAGGGACUGGAUAUGUU